AAGGUGGCCUAUGCCACUGCUAUGGACUGGUUUAUAGCAGUCUGCUAUGCCUUU
rfam:Charadrius vociferus contig14920, whole genome shotgun sequence.